GAAAAAAAUGCCAGCAUUGGUCUUGUGGUGAAAUGUGUUUCUUUAUAAAUGCCCUGAUGUUGCCUUCGAGCCUGAGGCAUGGGGAGAGGAAGAAGCAGACUUCAUGUUUCUGACCAAGGUGGCAGGCCUGGCUGGGCUGCAGUUUGUGGACCUCUGCUGUAGACCAGAGCCUGGGGUACAUCACCAGCGAGCUGCGGAAUAAAUGCCAGCCAUAGAAGAGACUGUGACAUCUUCAAAACAUGUGCUAUCAAAACAACAUCAUUCCCUACAAGGAAGAUGACAUUUACAAAGGAAAUGUGAGCCCAGGAUUGAUUGAAGGAAAUCAAAGAAAGCAAGAAGGUUGGGUUCAAGAGAUCACUGUUAGAAGGGUUUCUUCCACACAGCCUUCCUGACCCCAGGACAGUCUGCUUUCUUUUUUGUCACCUGGAUUUUCCUGUCCUCAGGCACCCCUUCCUUUACCCUAAAGGAUUUAGACCUCUCUAGGCGCAGGAGGCCAUGUUACCGCUGUCUGUGGCUUCCUGGCAUCCUCUGCUGCCCCCAGUGCCUAAGAUGCUGAGGGUCUGGUGGCCCAGAGCCAAGUGCACUGGAGCCACUCCAGACCUGUCUCUGGGACAGCAGCUGCGGCAUCUCGCUGACACCAAAAUACAUUCCUGAGGCGAGGGCAGACAGGCCACACCAGUGCAGGUCUUCUGCCCUCUGAGGAUCUGGCUUCAUCCUAAGGACACAUUGGUCAUGAGGACACCCCAAGUGCUAAACCCCUCACCCAGGAGAUCUCAGCCAGCUCAGCACUUUCCCCAAGGCCUGGGCUCACCCAGAGGCAUCCCCCCAAUGCCGCUUGGCUGGCCCAAGGCAGAAGUAAAUCACACAGGGAAGGAAUUUCUCAGAUACCGUAGCCACUGGCGACUUGACGGGUGCCAUGAAUCAGGAUUUCACCCCAUUUCACCUGUACUCUCCCUAAGGCAUGUGCAAGGCCUCUGGAGGCCAACAGUAGGAGAAGAUGAUGCAGGCCAAAUUCAGCCAGGGUGAGCAUCAAUGGUGCUGCCUCUUUGUCAACUUAUUACCUGAGAUUUAUGCAUGAUGCAGCCAGGUCUGCUCGGUGACACAUUCUAAUUUAAUUAAAUUUCUGUUGGAUUGAUGUCUGAUCAAUCAAUAAUGUUAAUGUUUUUGCAAUUUGGAGAUUAAAGUAUGGUCAAGCCACA